AUGUACCACUCGUACACUCCGGUUCUGAGCGCGCUGUCCGCACCCACCUGACGACCGCUCGCUACGUUUCAUUCGCC
rnacentral:sRNA from 1 species